rnacentral:lncRNA from 1 species
GCCAGCUUUCAUGACAACACGCAUCAGACUUUCUUUGGUUCAGCAGUGCAGCGUUUGUCUGGAUGUCUCCUUCUAUGACCAGAGUGGAUGAUCUAAUAGCCUGCUGCUGCAGAUACACCCUCGGUGACGACAGCAUGGGUGAGCAGCCACAGUCCCCGAGGGCCCGGAAGAUGGUUUGGCAGGGGAUCACGAAGAACAGGUCAACAUAAAGAGCGAGGGAAGGCGAUGCAAGGCAGACGGAAGAGUCAAAAGAAAGCCGGCGAAGUCUUUGAAUCCAGUGGAAUUCCUCUCCUCCUCCGUGGCUCCUCUGGGAGGCGUCAGGAGCCUGUGGAGAGAGCGAGGUAAGACGGGGCCUGUCAGGAACAAAGCUCCAAAUUCACAUGAUAUGUUUAGCUAAAAGGGUGAAAGAGAAAUGAAUCAAAGCUUGGCGGGAUCAAAGAAACGCAACAAUAAAGUCAAGGCGGUUGCCAUGGGACCAGCAGGAGAUGCAUAUCAUUUAUAAGUUGUUCUUCGGCUCUGUCAGAUGUGGAGGGAAUUGAUUGUUAUUGUUUGGAGGAUGAACUGCUGCUGGAGGGGGUUAAGAGCAAGGGUCAUCAUCACACAGCGAGAGGAAUAUAUCUUCUCACUUGUUUUAAACAGCAGACGCCUGUGAUCAGUGUCAGAGGCCAGCGCAGAAGCACCUUCAACUUGUGAUGAGACAGACACAAAGACAACUUUGUCAACCCCAUAAAUAUCUUAUCGCCACAAACCAUUGAUAGGCUAAACAUUUGUUUUGCAUCUUACUCUGUCAGAGGUUAUAAUCACUGUUAGUGUUUGAAUUGGAAAUCAAAUAGACUUAAGCUGUUAACUGGAGACUUUCAUUUUUUGCAUGCAUUACUGUCCUUUUCAAACAAAGAACGCUAAUCCUUUAAAACUUUGUAAAGGAAUAUGGAGCCCCCCCCCCACGCCAGAUUUGAGAGUUUUUAGGGGAUAAUUUACCUUAAUUACAAAAACAAGAUUCUCUAGCAACACCAACACAUUGAUGAGUGAUUCAGUUUUGUAUCCUAAACUUAAAUGAUUUAAACUUUACAGUCGAUGCGGUGCUUCCUAUAUGAGUUUUGACACUAACCAUGAACAAAAGGGCUCUGGUUUCAGUCUAGGAACCUUCAUUGAAUCUUGACAGUCUGUAAUAAAGACAUAAGGAAAAAAAAAUCCAGAAACUACAAUAUGAUCCGGUAGUACAAAAAAACGUAUAAUUUAUUGAACUGAAAUUAUUUACGGCCUAUUUAGUUGAUCAUCAAAAUCAAAAUAUGUCAAAACCAUGGCAGAUUUUUUUAAAAAGAAACUAAACGGGCUGUAUACCUCUAGAGAUAAGAGAGGGAAAUUCUGUUUGUUCUUGUUAUUUGGUUGGGUCUAAAGCCUCGAAGACAAAGGCAACGUAAAAUAACUCGGGUCUACCUGAGAACCCGAGAGCACAAAACAAAACUUAUAAAAGAAAACCAAAUCAAAGAGUUUC